AUUGAACGCUGGCGGCAGGCUUAACACAUGCAAGUCGAGCGGGGGAAGGUAGCUUGCUACCGGACCUAGCGGCGGACGGGUGAGUAAUGCUUAGGAAUCUGCCUAUUAGUGGGGGACAACAUCUCGAAAGGGAUGCUAAUACCGCAUACGUCCUACGGGAGAAAGCAGGGGAUCUUCGGACCUUGCGCUAAUAGAUGAGCCUAGGUCGGAUUAGCUAGUUGGUGGGGUAAAGGCCUACCAAGGCGACGAUCUGUAGCGGGUCUGAGAGGAUGAUCCGCCACACUGGGACUGAGACACGGCCCAGACUCCUACGGGAGGCAGCAGUGGGGAAUAUUGGACAAUGGGGGGAACCCUGAUCCAGCCAUGCCGCGUGUGUGAAGAAGGCCUUAUGGUUGUAAAGCACUUUAAGCGAGGAGGAGGCUACUUUAGUUAAUACCUAGAGAUAGUGGACGUUACUCACAGAAUAAGCACCGGCUAACUCUGUGCCAGCCGCCGCGGUAA
rnacentral:rRNA from 1 species